CCGAUAUUGCGACUCAGUUGCAUGAGUCAUGGUCACGACGGGUCUGCAGUUCUGCAACAGAUAAAGUUCGAGCUGUCAUGGGCAAAACCGAUCUACCCGCUUUCUUGUUCUUUUCGCUGGAACUUCACGAGCUGUCCGGCAAAAUACACUCACAACGUCACUAUUAACUUUGGAUGACGAACGAUGCUGUCCUGGUUUGCAUAAAUCUAC